UAAAGGAAAAGAAAGUGCCAUUAACUUGGAAGAAUUUAGCAUGUUGAAACAAUUGGUAUGGGCACCUUUAGACUUUUAAGUGAAUUCCAACACGAGGAGAAUUUUCUACAUCACAUGGACGGCUUGACUCUUUGCUUCCCUUUUGGCUUUUUGUCUCUCUCGCCCUCUGCUGCCAGCCACUCAUACUUUGCUUGCCAAUAAGAGCAAUUAGACUUGUCUUAUGCCGGACAAAAACAACUCAUCUUCAAACUAAGUGUUCGUUACACCCAAAGAAAUCCCUAGCAACAGACCAAACACUUCCUGUAUCCUAUAGGAAGUUGAGGGCACGAUCUCUAGCUUCGGAAACUAUCUUAAUUACCCAAAAAGAUUAUGCAUGCCUCUUGUAUCCAAUGUUUCGUUCAUUUAGCUUGCUAUUUGAUGAAAUCAUACAGGGUAUGGAUGACCAAUUAAGAUUAUUGAUCAAACCUAUACACAAAUAUAGCUCAAGUGCAUUUCCUGUACACAAAGCUUAAAUCCUUAAAAGGCAAUAAGAACUUGAUCUAUUAUAUCUCUUUGAAAUUGCUUCCAUAAAUGGAAGCCACUUGUAGAAAAAAAAGAUUUUUGGAGUCUGUACAAAUUUGGUUAGCAGUAAAGAAAGGAAGGAUAGUAAACAAAUAAAGAGUAAAGAAAAACUAGAUUAAAAGACACAGCUACAUCGAAAUUACAGCGAACAACUUUUGAUUCUAAGAUUUACCUGUGAACAUAGCAUUUCUAAUGCAAAACCCUAUUCAUUAGGGAAUCAUAUGGCAAGGUUUCGUUUUGUAGCUUCCAUUUUCAACAACAGAUUCUUGAUAUCUUCUUCCAUCCUCAUCUUCAUACUCAAGUAUUCCCGAUGAGCUCUUUCCAAAGCCUGGAAUUCUUCA
rnacentral:misc_RNA from 1 species